UACAGAGGCCUCAAGCGUUGUUCGGAUUCAUUGGGCGUAAAGGGUGCGUAGGUGGCGCUGUAAGUCGGGUGUGAAAUUUCGGAGCUUAACUCCGAAACUGCAUUCGAUACUGCGGUGCUUGAGGACUGGAGAGGAGACUGGAAUUCAUGGUGUAGCAGUGAAAUGCGUAGAGAUCAUGAGGAAGACCAGUGGCGAAGGCGGGUCUCUGGACAGUUCCUGACACUGAGACACGAAGGCCAGGGGAGCAAACGGG
rnacentral:rRNA from 1 species